rnacentral:rRNA from 1 species
AGAGCGAACGCUGGCGGCAGGCCUAACACAUGCAAGUCGAGCGCUCGUAGCAAUACGAGAGCGGCAGACGGGAGAGUAACACGUGGGAACGUACCCUUUGGUUCGGAACAACACAGGGAAACUUGUGCUAAUACCGAAUAAGCCCUUACGGGGAAAGAUUUAUCGCCAAAGGAUCGGCCCGCGUCUGAUUAGCUAGUUGGUGGGGUAACGGCUCACCAAGGCGACGAUCAGUAGCUGGUCUGAGAGGAUGACCAGCCUCAUUGGGACUGAGACACGGCCCAAACUCCUACGGGAGGCAGCAGUGGGAAUAUGGACAAUGGCGCAAGCCUGAUCCAGCCAUGCCGCGUGGAUGAUGAAGGCCUUAGGGUUGUAAAGUCCUUUUAACGGGGAAGAUAAUGACGUACCGUAGAAUAAGCCCCGGCUAACUUCGUGCCAGCAGCCGC